UACACCUNCAAGUCGAGCGUGAAGCAUCCUUCGGGAUGUGGAAAGCGGCGGACGGGUGAGUAACGCGUGGGAACCUACCUUUCGGUUCGGAAUAACUCGGGGAAACUCGGGCUAAUACCGGAUACGCCCCUCACGGGGGAAAGAUUUAUUGCCGAAAGAUGGGCCCGCGUUGGAUUAGGUAGUUGGUGGGGUAAAAGCCUACCAAGCCGACGAUCCAUAGCUGUUCUGAGAGGAAGAUCAGCCACACUGGGACUGAGACACGGCCCAGACUCCUACGGGAGGCAGCAGUGGGGAAUCUUGGACAAUGGGGGAAACCCUGAUCCAGCCAUGCCGCGUGAAUGAAGAAGGCCUUAGGGUUGUAAAGUUCUUUCAGUGGGGAAGAUAAUGACGGUACCCACAGAAGAAGCCCCGGCUAAUUUCGUGCCAGCAGCCGCGGUAAU
rnacentral:rRNA from 1 species